AUCUGGGCGGCGAAAUUCAGGAUGGCUGGGCUGGCCUCGCGCUGGUUCGGCCGUUUGAUGUUUUCGUCGCCACUAGCAGACGUCGCGACCUGUUCGUCGUCGGUCCCUGCUCGGAGGAAUCGCUGUCGAGUUCGUUGUGGGCGCGUUUCGGCGCGUUUCACGGCGAAGACGCGGAUCUCUGGCUGACGACGGACAGUAAGCAACGGUGGCCGGCGUCGUGUCUCGCACGCGAUGUCGGUGCCGGUCAGCGACGAUUUCUUCGGGCCUCUUUCCGACCCGUCUUGAAACACGGACCAAGGAGUCUAACAUGCGCGCGAGUCGCGGGGUAUCGAGCGUACCACGGUGCGCUCGUUACGUCACGAAACCCGUAAUGUUGAAGGCGUAAUGAAAGUGAAUGGGGAAGAUGGCGUUCCGAGUACACGUUCCGUGGUCUAGUAUCGCGGCCGGACGCCCGCAUUCCCGGGGCGUCUCAACGGCUCGUCGCGAAUGCGGACGGUCGCCUUUCGGGGUGGCCGUCGGUUUGCGACGGACCGA
rnacentral:rRNA from 1 species